GACGAACGCUGGCGGCGUGCUUAAUACAUGCAAGUCGAACGGACAGGCCCUGCUCUUGUGGGGCGCUCGAGAGGCGAACGGGUGAGUAAAACGCGAGUAACAUGUACUUAUCUUUGGGAUAACAUCAGGAAACUGCGGCUAAUACAGGAUAGGAGCUCCUGCUGCACGGUGGGGGUUGGAAAGAUUCGGCGGUUGGGGAUGGACUCGCGGCUUAUCAGCUGGUUGGUGAGGUAGUGGCGUACAAAGGCUGUGACGGGUAGCCGGCCUGAGAGGGUGACCGGCCACAUUGGGACUGAGAUACGGAGCAGUCGCCUACGUGAGGCAGCAGUGGGGAAUAUUGCACAAUGGGCGGGAGCGUGAUGCAGCAGUGCCGCGUGCGUGAUAACGUCUUUCGGGUUGUAAACCGCUUUCUCCGGUGACGAAGCGUGAGUGACGGUAAUGGGUAAGAAAGCACCGGCUAACUACGUG
rnacentral:rRNA from 1 species